GGUGAACGCUGGCGGCGUGCCUAACACAUGCAAGUCGAGCGGUACAGUUUGAAGCUUCGGUGGAGAGCUGUAUAGCGGCGGACGGGUGAGUAAAGCGUAGGAACGUGCCCCUCGGAGUUGGAUAGCCAUGGGAAACUGUGGGUAAACCGACAUAGACUCGGGAGAGUAAAGGCCGAAAGGCGCCGAGGGAGCGGUCUGCGUCCCAUCAGGUAGUUGGUAGGGUAAAGGCCUACCAAGCCGACGACGGGUAACCGGUCUGAGAGGGUGACCGGCCCGAGGGGCACUGAGAUACGGGUCCCACUCCUACGGGAGGCAGCAGGCUAGAAAUUUGGGCAAUGGGGGAAACCCUGACCCAGUGACGCCGCGUGCAGGAAGGAGCCCUUCGGGGUGUAAACUGCUGUCGUGUAGGGAGAAGGGUACUAAGGUGAACAAUCUUAGUACUUGACGGUACUACAGGAGGAAGCCCAAGGCUAAACCUCGUG
rnacentral:rRNA from 1 species